rnacentral:rRNA from 1 species
UAGAGUUUGAUCCUGGCUCAGGACGAACGCUGGCGGCGUGCCUAAUACAUGCAAGUCGAGCGGACAGAAGGGAGCUUGCUCCCGGAUGUUAGCGGCGGACGGGUGAGUAACACGUGGGUAACCUGCCUGUAAGACUGGGAUAACUCCGGGAAACCGGAGCUAAUACCGGAUAGUUCCUUGAACCGCAUGGUUCAAGGAUGAAAGACGGUUUCGGCUGUCACUUACAGAUGGACCCGCGGCGCAUUAGCUAGUUGGUGGGGUAAUGGCUCACCAAGGCGACGAUGCGUAGCCGACCUGAGAGGGUGAUCGGCCACACUGGGACUGAGACACGGCCCAGACUCCUACGGGAGGCAGCAGUAGGGAAUCUUCCGCAAUGGACGAAAGUCUGACGGAGCAACGCCGCGUGAGUGAUGAAGGUUUUCGGAUCGUAAAGCUCUGUUGUUAGGGAAGAACAAGUGCGAGAGUAACUGCUCGCACCUUGACGGUACCUAACCAGAAAGCCACGGCUAACUACGUGCCAGCAGCCGCGGUAAUACGUAGGUGGCAAGCGUUGUCCGGAAUUAUUGGGCGUAAAGGGCUCGCAGGCGGUUUCUUAAGUCUGAUGUGAAAGCCCCCGGCUCAACCGGGGAGGGUCAUUGGAAACUGGGAAACUUGAGUGCAGAAGAGGAGAGUGGAAUUCCACGUGUAGCGGUGAAAUGCGUAGAGAUGUGGAGGAACACCAGUGGCGAAGGCGACUCUCUGGUCUGUAACUGACGCUGAGGAGCGAAAGCGUGGGGAGCGAACAGGAUUAGAUACCCUGGUAGUCCACGCCGUAAACGAUGAGUGCUAAGUGUUAGGGGGUUUCCGCCCCUUAGUGCUGCAGCUAACGCAUUAAGCACUCCGCCUGGGGAGUACGGUCGCAAGACUGAAACUCAAAGGAAUUGACGGGGGCCCGCACAAGCGGUGGAGCAUGUGGUUUAAUUCGAAGCAACGCGAAGAACCUUACCAGGUCUUGACAUCCUCUGACAACCCUAGAGAUAGGGCUUUCCCUUCGGGGACAGAGUGACAGGUGGUGCAUGGUUGUCGUCAGCUCGUGUCGUGAGAUGUUGGGUUAAGUCCCGCAACGAGCGCAACCCUUGAUCUUAGUUGCCAGCAUUCAGUUGGGCACUCUAA